AUCGUUGUUUGUGGACGCGUUGGAAGAUACAGAGAGAGGACCAGCGGCCAUCUUCAUCCAAAAAGGAGCGGUUUACAGCUUGUGUGCUCACCCGGCCUCGACGAAACGACAGCGGAGCAAUGAGACUGACAAACAGUGUUGUGGGAUCUGGACUUGGAAAGAGGUUAUCUCUUCAAAUACACAGCAGGCAUGCAGGUCACCGUGUAGAGCAGGAACAAAAGGAAGGAUCAACACCCAGGACUGCAUGAGAGGGGGGAUGUGAGCAGCUGUCAAAGGGUCAACACUCGUCUGGAAUAGACGCCUUUCACGGCGGAGAUUCUGACUUGUCCGAGCAGGAAAAGACCAGGUAACGUCCUCUCCACACAGGCCGAGAUUCUCAGCAGAUAAACCACACUUUGUGUUGUUGUGCGUGUGUGUGUUUUUGGCAAACGGAGGAAACGACAAAAUCGUUAUCAUCCCACCUUUCUGUGUGAGCGGCGUGCACAGGCAUUGUCUCGCAGAUGGAUUGGAAGAGAGGGACACGGGGAAGUCAAACUAAAAGCUUUCCAUGUGUGCCAGCGAGCGGGGAAAUUAGUUCCAUGCCACACACACACACACACACACUUCAUGCAUUUCUCCCAUCAUGCCAAUUCAUCCCAAAUGUAGAGGGAGAGGAAGAGAGGGAGGGAUGGAAAGACCUUGCACGGAGUGAAUGAUGUCAAUAACACACAAUGCCUGAGGGGAGAGUGCUGCGUAAUUGUUGAGUGUGUGUGUGUGUGUGUGUGUG